GUUUAAAACACAAUAGGACAGGUUCCCAUAAUGGUCUGCCCAAUUAUGUGGGCUGGAUCUCUUGCCCAAUCAAGAGGCAGCAAGCAAAAAGAUGAUGGAUGGUUAGCAGACAGCCACCAAAUGUUCAUUUUAUUUACAGAUCAAGUGACAACUGACCAAUAGAGGUAGAAAAAAGGAGGAGAAAUAAAACAACUAUUCUUCUAAGCAUAUAGACAGCUGUUGAGUGUUAUGGGAAUAUGCAG